rnacentral:piRNA from 1 species
GAGGACAUUUGCUUGGUUUCUCUGAGUUC